rnacentral:rRNA from 1 species
AACACAAACCCCGGCGCUGAAUGCGCCAAGGAACUAAAUUUCGUUCAGUGCGCCCCRGUUGGCCCGGAGACGGUGCUCCUACGGGUGGUGUUUUGAAGCAUGACACAUAAUGACUCUCGGCAACGGAUAUCUAGGCUCUUGCAUCGAUGAAGAACGUAGCGAAAUGCGAUACUUGGUGUGAAUUGCAGAAUCCCGUGAACCAUCGAGUCUUUGAACGCAAGUUGCGCCCGAAGCCAUUAGGUUGAGGGCACGUCUGCCUGGGCGUCACAUAUCGUUGCCCGAUGCCAAUUUCCUCUUGAUAAGGAGGUAUGCUGUGCAGGGUGAAUGAUGGCUUCCCGUGAGCACUGYUGCCUCAUGGUUGGUUGAAAAUUGAGUCCUUGGUAGCGUGUGCCAUGAUAGAUGGUGGUUGAGUGAUGCACGAGACCAUAUCAUGUGAGACUCUACCAAACUUGGCCUCUGUGACCCACAUGCGUCUUUGAACGCUCAUGACGAGACCUCAGGUCAGGCGGGGCUACCCGCUGAGUUUAAGCAUAUCAAUAAGCGGAGGAAAAGAAACUAACAAGGAUUCC